GGGUUGUGAGGUUAAGCGACUAAGCGUACACGGUGGAUGCCCUGGCAGUCAGAGGCGAUGAAGGGCGUGCUAAUCUGCGAUAAGCGCCGGUAAGGUGAUAUGAACCGUUAUAACCGGCGAUACCCGAAUGGGGAAACCCAGUGUGACUCGUCACACUAUCAUUAACUGAAUCCAUAGGUUAAUGAGGCGAACCGGGGGAACUGAAACAUCUAAGUACCCCGAGGAAAAGAAAUCAACCGAGAUUCCCCCAGUAGCGGCGAGCGAACGGGGAGGAGCCCAGAGCCUGAAUCAGCAUGUGUGUUAGUGGAAGCGUCUGGAAAGGCGCGCGAUACAGGGUGACAGCCCCGUACACAAAAGCGCAUGUGUUGUGAGCUCGAUGAGUAGGGCGGGACACGUGGUAUCCUGUCUGAAUAUGGGGGGACCAUCCUCCAAGGCUAAAUACUCCUGACUGACCGAUAGUGAACCAGUACCGUGAGGGAAAGGCGAAAAGAACCCCGGCGAGGGGAGUGAAAAAGAACCUGAAACCGUGUACGUACAAGCAGUGGGAGCCCCACCACUAAGCCAGUGGUGAACUCCACAUACGCAUCCUUUGCUGAGGAUACGGUUAACGGAGCGAAAGCGACGUUCAACCGCAAAAGAAGCAGAGGGGGCUUAGUGGUGGGGUGACUGCGUACCUUUUGUAUAAUGGGUCAGCGACUUAUAUUCUGUAGCAAGGUUAACCGUAUAGGGGAGCCGUAGGGAAACCGAGUCUUAACCGGGCGUUAAGUUGCAGGGUAUAGACCCGAAACCCGGUGAUCUAGCCAUGGGCAGGUUGAAGGUUGGGUAACACUAACUGGAGGACCGAACCGACUAAUGUUGAAAAAUUAGCGGAUGACCUGUGGCUGGGGGUGAAAGGCCAAUCAAACCGGGAGAUAGCUGGUUCUCCCCGAAAGCUAUUUAGGUAGCGCCUCGUGAAUUCAUCUCCGGGGGUAGAGCACUGUUUCGGCUAGGGGGCCAUCCCGGCUUACCAACCCGAUGCAAACUGCGAAUACCGGAGAAUGUUAUCACGGGAGACACACGGCGGGUGCUAACGUCCGUCGUGAAGAGGGAAACAACCCAGACCGCCAGCUAAGGUCCCAAAGUCAUGGUUAAGUGGGAAACGAUGUGGGAAGGCCCAGACAGCCAGGAUGUUGGCUUAGAAGCAGCCAUCAUUUAAAGAAAGCGUAAUAGCUCACUGGUCGAGUCGGCCUGCGCGGAAGAUGUAACGGGGCUAAACCAUGCACCGAAGCUGCGGCAGCGACACUCAGGUGUUGUUGGGUAGGGGAGCGUUCUGUAAGCCUGUGAAGGUGUGUCGUGAGGCAUGCUGGAGGUAUCAGAAGUGCGAAUGCUGACAUAAGUAACGAUAAAGCGGGUGAAAAGCCCGCUCGCCGGAAGACCAAGGGUUCCUGUCCAACGUUAAUCGGGGCAGGGUGAGUCGACCCCUAAGGCGAGGCCGAAAGGCGUAGUCGAUGGGAAAC
rnacentral:rRNA from 1 species